rnacentral:lncRNA from 1 species
AAAGAAGCCAACCUGGCCUGGUGACCUUCUCUGUGCAAGCAGGGAGCAGGCACACACCACCAAUGAGUGAAGAAGGCUGGUGUGGCAUGCUCGGGACCUAGAGGGAACCUGCCUCAUUGACAGGGGACAGCAGCUGCACAGCUCCAGACAAUCGUUGUCAAGGACCGGAAUGAGAUUCUAACAUGGCUGAUCUGAUUUUUCAAGAAAAGCUGAACGCCUAGCCCUUCGCUGGCCCUGGGCCAGGCACAUGGGAUGCAGGGAUGACGUAUACGUGGUGUCUGCUCUCAGGAAAGACUCAUAGAAGGCAAGUGAAAGACCCAAAUUCAUGGAAGAGAAGUGAGUCACGCAGGGAGCCAGUGGCAGAGCCACACCCCACAGAGCAAUCAACGUGCCCUACUCUGCAGACCUGCAACAUAGAGGGAAGCCAGACUCUGACGCAAGAGGGAAAGACCAUGUGUUGGCUCAGUGUGUGCAGCCUGGAGUGAGCUACUGAACUCUAAAUCCAAGGAUGACUAAUGUAAGCCUAAAGGGUAAUCUGCAAAUACUGCUCCAUUAAUAUUCAAUGAUAAAUGAUAUUGCUUUAGAAUCAAAUUCACAUAAACGGAAGCUUCAGCUGUAUGUCAGCACCCUGGGAACAUUAAAUUGUAGGCCACGUCUUGUACUUCCAUGAAUCAUCCAUACCAUCUACCCCAAGGCUCCGGACAUGGAAGCUACUGUGUAAACACUUAUUGACUGAAUGCGGCCACUCGAAAAAAUUGCUGAAGGGAGUUACAAUUAAGAGAAU